GCGCUCGCUUCAGCAGCACAUAUACUAAAAUUGGAACGAUACAGAGAAGAUUGGCAUGGUCCCUGCACAAGGCUGACAUGCAAAUUCAUGAAUUAUAUUCAUUUUUU